rnacentral:rRNA from 1 species
CAGCAGCCGCGGUAACACGGAGGGUGCAAGCGUUAAUCGGAAUUACUGGGCGUAAAGCGCACGCAGGCGGUUUGUUAAGACAGAUGUGAAAUCCCCGGGCUCAACCUGGGAACUGCAUUUGUGACUGGCAAGCUAGAGUCUGGCAGAGGGGGGUGGAAUUCCGCGUGUAGCAGUGAAAUGCGUAGAUAUGCGGAGGAACACCGAUGGCGAAGGCAGCCCCCUGGGCCAACACUGACGCUCAUGCACGAAAGCGUGGGGAGCAAACAGGAUUAGAUACCCGGGUAGUCCCUGUCUCUUAUAC